rnacentral:rRNA from 1 species
UACGUAGGUCGCAAGCGUUGUCCGGAUUUACUGGGCGUAAAGAGCGCGCAGGCGGCUGGUCAAGUCCGAUGUGAAAUCUCCCGGCUCAACUGGGAAACUGCAUCGGAAACUGAUCGGCUUGAAGGUGGGAGAGGGUAGUGGAAUUCCCGGUGUAGUGGUGAAAUGCGUAGAUAUCAGGAGGAACACCGGUGGCGAAGGCGGGUCUCUGGGCCGAUACUGACGCUGAGGAGCGAAAGCGUGGGGAGCGAACAGG